CCAGAGGAGUAGUGUGAAACGCGUGCCCUCUAGUCUUAAACUUGGCGUUUGUAUUAGUUGGGUUUCCUGGUGUUCUUUAGCAAGUGAAUUUCUGGUUCCCUCCUUCACUGUGUGACCUGCCUAGUCCUCCUGGGUUGCAUUUACAGAAGUUUAUACGAGACCUAGUUUCCAGGGAAGAACUCACUGAUUCCGCGAGGGAGAUGGGGUAAUGGAUGAUGGUCUUCAGCCUUAAGGGUACUUAGUCUUAACUGUGUGUUACAAAGUUUGAAAGGGAGGGUUCCCUAUGAAUAAGAAGCGCACUUGAAAGAACAGCCCUCUGGUCUAACCUCUCACUGGUGCUUCAGAGGAGGAUAAAAGGUCACAGCUAUGUUUCCAGUGUCCUCUGGGUGUUUCCAAGAGCAACAAGAAAUGAAUAAAUCUCUGG
rnacentral:lncRNA from 1 species